CGCCGACCAUCGCCAGCCGCUCAAAACUCCUCACCGGGGCAUCUGGACCUCUCCUCCGCACAUGCCCGAACCACCUGAGCCUCGCUUCUCGCAUCUUCUCAUCCACAAGGGCCACCUCCACUUUCUCUCGAAUAACUACAUUCUUAAUCUUAUCUAACCUGGUGAGCCCGCACAUCCACCUGAGCAUCCUCAUCUCCGCAACCUUCAUUCUCUGAGCAUGAGAGUUCUAAGGGCCACCUCCACUUUCUCUCGAAUAACUACAUUCUUAAUCUUAUCUAACCUGGUGAGCCCGCACAUCCACCUUAGCAUCCUCAUCUCCUCAACCUUCAUUCUCUGAAUAUAAGAGUUCCUCACCGGCCAGCACUCUGCCCCAUAUAACAUGGCAGGUCUAAGCACAGCUCUAUAAAAUUUCCCCUUGAGUUUUUGUGGCACUUUCUUGUCACACAGGACUCCUGAUGCAAGCCUCCACUUUGACCACCCCGCUCCUAUACGAUGAGUGACGUCCCCGUCAAUCUCUCCGUCUCUAAUCUUAUCUAACCUGGUGAGCCCGCACAUCCACCUUAGCAUCCUCAUCUCCUCAACCUUCAUUCUCUGAAUAUAAGAGUUCCUCACCGGCCAGCACUCUGCCCCAUAUAACAUGGCAGGUCUAAGCACAGCUCUAUAAAAUUUCCCCUUGAGUUUUUGUGGCACUUUCUUGUCACACAGGACUCCUGAUGCAAGCCUCCACUUCGACCAGCCCGCUCCUAUACGGUGAGUAACAUCCCCGUCAGUCUCUCCUUCCCCCUGAAUCGCGACCCAAUAUAUCUGAACUGUCCUUCUUGGCGAUGAACUGGGAUCCAAUCUUCACUUCCCUGCCUAAUUCGCUCGGCUCGGCGCUAAACCUACACUCCAGGUAUUCUGUCUUAGAUCUGCUUAUUUUGAAAUCCUUAGACUCGAGAGUUUGUCUCCAUACCUCUAGCCUCUCAUUAACACCAACCCGAACACAACUAGGAUGUGAUUAUGAAAAAUAGAGGUGGCGACCGUGUUAAUAACGUGUUAUAAAACUAAAAGUAAUUUACUAUAAACUUGAACAAGAUAAUAGAGAUAUAAAGAAGGAAGAGAAUUUAUUUUUUCUUCAAUUGUGUGUAUGUUCCUAUCUAUUACAAGGCAUUUAUAUAGGCAUGAAAAGUGAAGAAAAUAUGUCAUUAAGCAUAGAAAAUAU
rnacentral:lncRNA from 1 species